UUUUUGAUAAUAAUUUAAGGUUUAAUCUGCUCAAUGAAAAUUAAAUAGCUGCAGUAUUCUAACUGUACAAAGGUAGCAUAAUAAUUAGUUUUUUAAUUGAAAGCUGGAAUGAAUGAUUGGACGAGAGAAUAGCUGUCUCUUUAUGAAUUUUAAUUGAAUUUAACUUUUAAGUGAAAAGGCUUAAAUUUUAUUAAAAGACGAGAAGACCCUAUAGAGUUUUAUUUUUAUAUAAAUAUUUUUAGUAUAGAUAAAUUUGUAAAAAUUUGGUUGGGGUGACUAGAAGAUUAAAAUAACUCUUCAAAUUUUUAAUCAUUAAUUUAUGAAUAAAAAAUCUUGAAUUAUAAAUUUAAAUUAAAUUACCUUAGGGAUAACAGCGUAAUUUUUCUUUAGAGUUCUUAUUAAAAGAGAAGUUUGCGACCUCGAUGUUGGAUUAAAAUUUAUUUUUGGUGUAGAAGCUAAAAAAUUUAAGUCUG
rnacentral:rRNA from 1 species